AACGCGAAGAACCUUACCUGGGCUUGACAUGUGCCUGACCGGCGUGGAAACACGUCUUCCCUUCGGGGCAGGUUCACAGGUGGUGCAUGGCUGUCGUCAGCUCGUGUCGUGAGAUGUUGGGUUAAGUCCCGCAACGAGCGCAACCCCCGUCGCAUGUUGCCAGCAUUUAGUUGGGGACUCAUGCGAGACUGCCGGUGACAAACCGGAGGAAGGUGGGGAUGGACGUCAAGUCCUCAUGCCCCUUAUGUCCAGGGCUACACACGUGCUACAUUGGCGUAUACAGAGGGCUGCGAUACCGCGAGGUGGAGCGAAUCCCUUAAAGUACGUCUCGGUUCGGAUUGCAGGCUGAAACUCGCCUGCAUGAAGCUGGAAUCGCUAGUAAUCGCGGAUCAGCACGCCGCGGUGAAUACGUUCCCGGGCCUUGUACACACCGGCUAC
rnacentral:rRNA from 1 species